UGGAACCUUUAGGAGGUGGAGUCUUGCUGAAGGAGAUCAGGCCUCCAGGUGUUAUGGCCUGGCCUCACUUUUUGCCUGCUGUCUGCUUUCUGACUGCAGACACAGUGUGACCAGUGCCUCAUACUCCUGCUGUGUGCCUUCCCUCUCUUAAUACACUGUACCUCAUCUUAAACUGCAAGCCAGAACCUUCUUGCCUUAUGCUGCUUCCUGCCCGGUGUUUUGUCUCAGAGUAGGAACUGAUACAGUACAAUGUUGAAGCCGAUAUCUUCAACCGCAUCUAGGAGCUAGGAGGCGGGCAGUACAUUGGCUGACCUGUCACUCAACCAGGGAGGGUGAAAGACUUGGAGGGAAGGGGUGCAGCUUACAAGAUGGUCUCAGAGUGAUUCUGGGCUGAGCUGGAGAUAACCCCCCUAAAAGUAUUAGGACAAGUACCACGACUGACUAUUGGGAUUCCGCUGUACACAGGCUGGGCUGGUCUUUGAAGAGGUGGAACUUGGAAGGCAUCACAUUGAUUCCUAUCUCGUUCCUGUGAGCACCUAUAUAAGCAUUAUACUGAUACAUCUUCUAUUAUGGUUGUCUCUCCCUGACCUGUUUUCACCAAAGUUCAGGAGAGUAAGGUUCUAGAAGUAAGGUCAUGGGUUACUUCUAGAAGUAAAGUUCUAGAAGUAAGGUCAUGGGUUUCGCCCGGUGCGUCUGUUUGUCCUUUGUCAGCGCUCGCUGGUUGUCUAGUGUUCUCAGACAGUCUGUCUUGGUCUCAGCACUCUUAUUUCAUCAAUUGUCCUGUUAGAUGUUUAUGUUUUGGUCAGCUUGAAAUACCUGGCAAGAGGGACUGUCAGUUGAAGAACUGCCUUGAUCAGAUCAGAUCGGCCUGUGGUUACAUCUAUGGGGACAUUUUCUUGAUUGUAAUUGAUGCAGGAGGGUCAAGCCCACUGUGGGCAGUGCAAUCCCUAUGAAGAUGGGUCUAGGCUCUCUAAGAAAGGUAGCUGCACAUGAGCCUGGAAGCGAAACAGUAAGCAGCAUUUCUCUGUGGUUCCGGCCUCCUCUUCUGCUUGAGUCCCCACCAUAACUUCCCUCAAGAAUGGGACACAAUGCAGAAGUGUAAGCCAAGCAAACCUCAAGGUGUUUAUCGUCACAACAGAAAAGCAAACCAGGACACCCUCGCUAUAAGGAUCUGUCCAACUGUGUAAGCCUCAUAACAGUGAGAGAGUGCUGGUCUGGAGGAAGCCUUUGGAUCUGUCUUAUGUUACUUGUCUUGUUGAGACAAAAGGAACUUAAGGAAGAAAGCUCUUACCAGGGUUCAUGUUUGAGGGUACAGGCUGUCAUGGUGACCAAACCAUGGCAGCAGGGACUUGAGACAGCUUGGUCACAUUACAUCUGUGGUCAAGAAGCAGAGAGAAGAGGUGGCCAUUGAGUGGCUCCCUUCUCCUUUUUAUUCACUCUGGGACCCCAGUCCAUGGAAAGAUGAGGCCCACAUUUAGGGUUGACAUCAGGGGACACAUUAGGGUCUCUGUAUUCUGGCCCAGGCAGGAUCCCAUAGCCCCAUAGCAGUGUCUGCGAGGCUUAGACUGGAGGAAUGACCAGCUGUCAAAUGGGGAGGCCAAGGAAAGUUUUGUCUGUGGCCAGCUUGGUUCUAAGAUAGGAUUCUGAGCUUGGGUCUGUGUACAGCUCUUUGUUAUGUACAGAGUCGGGAUUUUUGAUCAUUAGGAAUCCCCGAUGUGAUGCGCAAAUGAGAACGUCCAAACAGUUCCUAGUUCUCGAAGUCAUACGUUAGUGAGAACCGGAUGCAGCUGGGUCUGUGCAAGUGUCAUCUCGUCAGCCGCAAAUCACCACAGCAAUCCUGUGACUGAGAAAAAGCCUCUCUUGUGGGUGCUGGGAGGGACGAACAGAUGAAGAGAACGGAUGCAGUAAACCGAGGAGCGGCGAAGUCUGCGGGUUUUCACUACUGCUGCCUCCCAUGCUAUUCUACCUUUCCACUCCCUCCUUGUUUCAACCCGUCUCUAACUGUAACAUGUCACGUGACUUCAGAUCUGGGGUUCUUCCCUCAGAAGCUAAGAUAAAAGGCGAGCCCGGAGUUACCUCAGGACUGGGUGGAACAAGCGGGGCCAAGUUGAGCCAACCUUGGGGCUGAACUGGGAUUGGGGGUGACGGUCAGCAGAAGGAUGUGUGGGCUCUGUGAUUUCUUUGGUUGUAUUGUCCUUUCUCUCUUCUGUCAACGGAAAAGAUGCCCAGGAACCAAGAGACACUUAAAAAUGGACUUGUAUGACAACGA